rnacentral:rRNA from 1 species
AUUGAACGCUGGCGGCAGGCCUAACACAUGCAAGUCGAACGAGUGGCGGACGGGUGAGUAAUGUCUGGGAAACUGCCCGAUGGAGGGGGAUAACUACUGGAAACGGUAGCUAAUCCCGCAUCCCAUAAGAUGUGCCCAGAUGGGCUUAGCUAGGAGGUGGGGUAAAGGCCUACCAAGGCGACGAUCCGUAACUGGUCUGAGAGGAAGAUCAGUCACACUAGAACUGAGACACGUUCCGGACUCCUACGGGAGGCAGCAGUGGGGAAUAUUGGACAAUGGGCGAAAGCCUGAUCCAGCCAUGCCGCGUGUGUGAAGAAGGUCUUCGGAUUGUAAAGCACUUUAAGUUGGGAGGCGUUACCCGCAGAAGAAGCACCGGCUAACUCCGUGCCAGCAGCCGCGGUAAUUC